GGGCCGGCGGCCGCCGGGACCGCGGCUGGGCGGCAAGUCAGCCCGCUCCCGGGGCGAGGAGGGGAGAGACGGGGCGUCGCCGUUCAGAGCCGAGCGAGGAAGGAAAAGAGGCUCCCCGGGAUAGAGCUGGGAACGGGAUACUGACGGCUGACCAGACUUUGCGAGACUCCCCCCCUGCUUUCAAACCCGGCAACACUGACAUCGGUAGAAGAACCGCUGAAAAGACCGGGGCUCUGUAAUUACUGCUGUGCACCUCAUUCAGAGGGAAAGAGAGGAAGAGAGGAAUCAGCCCGGAGAGGCGGCGGCUUGACGGGGAAGAUGGCGCUCCGAGCCCCUGGGGCUCAGCUGCGCCGGAUUCCGGACUCUGUAAUUGAAUUUCAGUAACACUGCCCAGCCGCCUGGAAAGCCCAGCCUUGCACGGGGAGGGCUCUGCAGAUGGACGGGGGAAAGGAACACAAGUUUACUGCACAGUCCCCUCGCGGAGAGCUGGACUGAGAAUUGCAUACGGAGAAUCGUGACACCUUGUGGAUGAUGUGAGCAUACUGAUGCAAUAAGAAGAGAGAAGUCUUUAUGUGACCAGGUGCACAAACACUAAGCUACAGCCCCCAUGUACACAGCAGGGCGUGCUCUGGAGCGAUCUGAGGGAUAGCAGCUGUGCCCCACCUGGGAUUUGAACCUGCACCCUGGAGCGCAGGGCGGUGGGAAUGGAGAUUCCGGCCGGGAUGAGCUCUUUCCCCGCCCGAGUAUGCCAGUACGCCACAAGGGGGAAGAGAUGACACACAGGAAGGGGUGGAAAAGUCAUGCGGGUGAAAGAAACAGACAGACACCUACAAGUACAGGAAGAGCUCCGGGUGCA